CCCCAGAUGUCACCUCACCCCCCCAGAUAUGGCACCUAUGGGGCUGCCACCCCCCCCAGAGAUCACUUAUGGGGCUGUCACCCUCCCCCAGAGGUCACUUAUGGGGCUGUCACCCCCCCCAAAUGUCACCUCACCCCCCCCAGGUGGCACCUAUAGGGCUGUCAGCCCCCCCAGAGGUCUCCUAUGGGGUUGUCACCCCCUAAGUGUCACCUAUAGGGCUGUCUCCCCCCCCCCAAGUGUCACCUAUGGGGAUGUCCCCCCCAGAUGUCACCUCACCCCCCCAGGUGGCACCUAUAGGGCUGUCACCGCCCCCCAGAUGUCACUUAUGGGGUUUGUCACCCCCCAAGUGGCAUCUAUGGGGAUGUCACCCCCCCAAGUGUCCCCUAUGGGGCUGUCACCCCCCUGAUGUCACCUCAGCCCCCUCAGACGUCACCUAUAGGGCUGUUACCCCCCCAGGUGUCCCCUAUGGGGCACUGUCACCCCCCAGGUGUCCCCUAUGGGGUUUGUCCCUCCCUCCCCCCCCCCCCCCGCCUGUCGCGACACGCCCCGCCCCUCCUGUCGCGACUCGGCCACCUGUCACCAGCGCCACCACCCCGCCGAGCCGCCCCGCUGAGCCCAUGGCGGCGGCCGGAAGUGAGCUGCGAGGCGCCGGAAGCGAGCAGCGAGCGGCAGCCGGAAGCGUGCGGAGAGCGGCGGCCGGAAGUGAGCUGGGAGCGGCGCUCUAUCCCCACCGCGCCUCUGUGGUCGGUCCCCCUCGGUCCGUCCCCACGUCACCCUGGUGACCCCAUGGGCCUCUUUGGGGUCCUCCACGUCCCCAAUGUCCCCAUUGGGGUCCUCUAUGUCCCAUUGGGGUCCUCCAUGUCCCACUGUGGUCUUUCACGUUCCACUGAGGUCCUCCAUGUCCACAUUGGGUCCCCAUGGUGUCUCCAUGUCCCAUUGGGGUCCCCAUGUCUCAUUGGGGUCCUCCACGUCCCAUUGGGGUCCCCAUGUCCCAUUGGGUCCCCAUGGUGUCUCCAUGUCCCAUUAGGGUCCCCAUGUCCCAUUGGGGUCCCCAUGUCCCAUUGGGGUCCUCCACGUCCCAUUGGGGUCCCCAUGUCCCAUUGUGGUCUCUCACAUUCCAUUGAUGUCUCCAUGUCCCAUUGGGUCCCCAAUGGUGUCCCCACGUCACCAAUCACUCUUUAAUGAACACCUCCUACAAAACUCUCCCCAAAGACCCCCAUAACCACCCCAAACCGCAUCGUCCCCCACCCCAAUGGAGUCCCAC
ensembl:lncRNA